GUGAGGAAUAUUGGUCAAUGGGCGAGAGCCUGAACCAGCCAAGUCGCGUGAAGGAAGAAGGAUCUAUGGUUCGUAAACUUCUUUUGCAGGGGAAUAAAGUGCAGGACGUGUCCUGUUUUGUACGUACCCUGAGAAUAAGGAUCGGCUAACUCCGUGCCAGCAGCCGCGGUAAUACGGAGGAUCCGAGCGUUAUCCGGAUUUAUUGGGUUUAAAGGGUGCGUAGGUGGUUUGAUAAGUCAGCGGUGAAAGUUUGCAGCUUAACUGUAAAAAUGCCGUUGAAACUGUCGGACUUGAGUGUAAAUGAGGUAGGCGGAAUGCGUGGUGUAGCGGUGAAAUGCAUAGAUAUCACGCAGAACUCCGAUUGCGAAGGCAGCUUACUAAGCUACAACUGACACUGAAGCACGAAAGCGUGGGGAUCAAACAGGAUUAGAAACCCUAGUAGUCC
rnacentral:rRNA from 1 species